UACGUAGGGGGCAAGCGUUGUCCGGAUUUAUUGGGCGUAAAGAGCGUGUAGGCGGCCAGACAAGUCUGCUGUGAAAACUCGAGGCUCAACCUCGAGCUGUCGGUGGAAACUGUUUGGCUAGAGUCCGGAAGAGGAGAGUGGAAUUCCAGGUGUAGCGGUGAAAUGCGUAGAUAUCUGGAGGAACACCGGUGGCGAAGGCGGCAUUCUGGACUGCAACUGACACUGAAAGACGAAAGCCAGGGGAGCAAACGGG
rnacentral:rRNA from 1 species